GUCAGAUGCCAACGGGAGAGACAGCUGGAGUAUCUAAACCAAGAGCUUUGAUCUUAGUAUCUGUAAAAAAGAGGUCAUUUGGUCUCCCAGGAAGCAGAGACAUUUAGAAGGUCCCUGUACAACUCAUGCAAGUAUUUUAUUAACAACAAUUUUUAUUCAAAUGUAGAUCUCAGAGCUCAUGGGGAAAACCACCCUCACCCACCCUGCAGGAGAAGCACAAUGGCACAAUGGCACCCUCUGUUGCCCUGCACGCUGCUCCCACGUGGAUGUAUGAACUCCCAAAGGUCUCUGAACAUUUUCCAUAAACAAACAGGAUUGCAUUCAAGAAAUAUCUGUCGCCAAUUUCUCCUUCCAGUGAAAACAGUCCUGUGCACCAAGAACACUGCUGCAUGGAAAGCAAAUGCUAAUAUCAGCAUAAGAAUCAAGUUUCCCAGAAGAGAAAGGUUGAGUUGAUAUCUGCAAUCAAGCUGGAACACUUAAUGGAGGUGCUCAGAUAAAUCAACAGUGGCCAAAAAAUAAUUAAAACAAGACCUAAACAAUUGCUGGAACCCUCUAAAAAGUAACCAAGUUGAAUUUCUGUAGCUUUCCAGAAAAGACAGAAAUAUAACCAGAUUUUUUGAGGCAACCUGUAGCGUUUCUGAGCUGAGUUUCUGAGUUUCUGAGACUGAAAAACUCUGUUAAAGCAAAUACGAUUUGGAUUAGUGCAUAAAAAAGAACUGCAGUAAGACAAACUAAAGAUUAAGCUAGCAUAAUAUUCUUUUUUUAACAAUAUACAACAUUAGAGGAUUAAGGGAAUAGUGAAAAAAAGGCCUGUUCAGUUCUCUGCUGCCAUCAGUUCUGGUUCUCAGCUUCUUUAAGAUUUCCAGGUUGCACUCAAUAAUGGAUCAAUAAAAUGGUGAG
rnacentral:lncRNA from 1 species